AAUUCUAGAACAAAGUGGAUUUUGCUGCCUUUCCAGGUACAAGGCUGCUAAACUAGCUAGGAAAAUAAUUUAUUUCAGGCAGUUAAAAUAUAUGGUAAUUUAAAAGCCUCUGCUUAUUAGGUUGAUCAACCGAAUUGUUAAAGUCUGACAUUUUUAGAAAAGGAAAUAAAAUGAACAAUUAUACAGCCACUCUGUGGUCUGGCGGAAACAGCUUCUCCAGCAACAGUACCAAAGUUCAUUUUCACAGACCAUAUAGGAAACUUUAAUGAAGACACAUUUUGUAAGGAAGCAAGUUCUAGCACUUUCUCAAAUAAUCCUUGAAAUCUUUAAUCCAGCAUUUCAGGGUGUUCCCAUUUAAUUAACUAAAAAUGAACAAUUCUAAUUUGUUGAGCAAUGGUAAUUUCAAAAUUGUAAUCUGAGCAUGAUCAUACAGUUUCCUCGCUUCUGAUAUUUUCGAUUUAUGCUCAUUAGUGCGAAUUUUUAUCCUUGCAUUCUAACUUUAAACUCAAAUUAAUGCUAUGAUUAUCUUGCUCGAUUAAUAAUUCUUGAUUUUUAGGCUUAUCAAUACUUAAUAUGUUUAGGAUCUAAAGAAAAUGACACCAGGCUAUUAUAAAUCCCCGUGAAAUCAAUAAGCAGAAAUUAAAUGUAUUCGGCUCGUU